UUUUCCUCUCUUUUUCCUUCUUUUUUUUUUUUUUCUUUUUCCUUUUUUCUUUUAUGUCUGUGCCUUUUGUCUUUUCUUUGUUUUUCUCUUUAUUUUUUUUGUCUUUUCUCUUGUUCUAGUUUCCUUCUCCCUUCAUUUCUCCCCUUCUCGCCCUGGUUUCUGCCUCUUCCUCUCUCCGUCGCCUUCUCCUCUCCCCUUCUUUCUUCUCCUUGGAAAAUAAAAGUCGUAACAAGGUUUCCGUAGGUGAACCUGCGGAAGGAUCAUUAC
rnacentral:rRNA from 1 species